GGUGUCUCCUGUGUGCUCAAGCCCAGGAGGCAGCCAUCUGUGAGGGCCAUGAAGCCUGGCCCCUCUGGCUGCUGCACCUCAGAGUCCUCUGUGGACCCCUCCAUCUCCACCCGCUUAUAGAAGCCUGUGGUCCCCACCUCCCCCAUACGUCUGUCCUCUGUCUGCUCCACACCCUGCCCUCCAGCUUUAGCAAACUGCCUCCUGGAUGUCGCCACUUGGAUAUGCUACAGUCAUUUCACCCCGAAGCUCCCCUGUCCUUCCUGAGUGGAGGAGUUAGGGGCAGUGGGGAGGGACUGGGGCUCAAAUAGGCAAGGGCAGGAGGGCCUGGCGGGCGAGGUGGGAGGGGCGUAGCGAGGAGAUGAUGGGCUGAAGACAGCGCAGUCUGGUUGGCUACACUGAACAAAUACGUCGACUGAUGAGUAAGUAAGGAAACUGAGUAAAUCAGUAAAUUCAGGAGAAAGGGAGCCGAGUUUCUCAGUGCUGGAGAAGAUGCUUACAAAUGCGGAAAUGGGGAGUGAAGGUUAGAAAAGACCCUGAGGUGUGGAACGGGAGGCACUGGCAUGAAUUCAUGGUUUUAGAACCCCCCCACCCAUAGAUUCCCAUGCCUGUGUGUGCACGUGUAUACACAUCUAUGCUUUCCAGUUCUGUCCGAUGAGAGGGCCUAGAGGCAGUGGUACUCCAGGAGCAAUGAAUAUCCCAGAUUUUGGUUUCUACCCAUCAUCCUCCUCUCAAAGGAACCAGGGGUCCUUGGGGAUUUGGCUGAUGCCAGGGGAUGGAGAGUGUCAGUUGGAUCUGAAGGGGAGGCUCGCAGCAUGUGUGUGGCAGGUCAGACAGACCCAAGAGCCAGCUUGGUGGGGCAUCCCUGGCUACCCUGGGGACACAGUGAGCGCCGAACUAAAUAACAUCAGGAAUGGAUCACCACGCAAUGAGUAAGGGGAAUCUGAGUCUAUAGGGAUACAGACCCAGAGGUAAACGGCCAUGGCCACCCACUUUCCUACAGGAGAAUGUGACUAGUGAGCGUGGAACAUGGAACAAAUGGUAGAGGUGGCUGACAUGGCGGGAGCUGUGCAGAAGUUUGAUGAGGAGGAGAAUAUUGGUCCAAACUCAGAAAACACUCAUCAAUCACAGAGAGAAAAUGGCGAGUGAAAGUGAAGCCAGUGGCGGGCUGGGGGUAUCCUGUGCCUGCUGAUGGGGCACCCAGGAUUAGGCCUCGAAGCUGAGGUUCCUGCUGGACCCUGGGCCCUGAGUCAGGUCCCCAGGAAAAACCAGAGGGAGCUCUGAGCGUUAGCCUAGAGGAGGUGAGUUUGGGACAAGGGCAGGAGAGGCAGGGAAAGGGGAGAAGCGGCUCCAGACUGAAGGAGCCUGAAGACACAGUGGAGGGUGACAUGUCUUUCUGGAUGGGAGCUGGGACCAGAAAAACAAAAGGGACAUUGUUGGAAGGAUUGCUGGAGCUGAAUGGGGUGGGUGUGUGGGUUGGAUGGUGAAGACUACACACUCACACAUGCAUGCACACUCACACACAUGCACACGUGUGGGAGACGGGGCAGAUGUGGUCAAAUGUGCACAAUUGGGGAAUUUGGAUGAAGAAAAUAUGGAAGUUUUUUGUUCUGCUUGACAAUGUUUCUGAAACUUUGAAAUAAUUUCAAAAUAAGUUAUUUAUUUUUAUUUUGGGAUGGAGUCUCGCUCUGUCACCCAGGCUGGAGUGCAGUGGUGUGAUCUCAGCUCACUGCAACCUCUGCCUCCCAGGUUCAAGUGACUCUCCUGUCUCAGCCUCCCCAGUAGCUAGGAUUGCAGGCGCUCGCCACCACACCCAGCUAAUUUUUGUAUUUUUA
rnacentral:lncRNA from 10 species